CCUACGGGUGGCAGCAGUGGGGAAUAUUGGACAAUGGGCGAAAGCCUGAUCCAGCCAUGCCGCGUGUGUGAAGAAGGCCUUCGGGUUGUAAAGCACUUUCAGUGGGGAAGAAAGCCUUGGGGCUAAUACCCUCGAGGAAGGACAUCACCCACAGAAGAAGCACCGGCUAACUCCGUGCCAGCAGCCGCGGUAAUACGGAGGGUGCGAGCGUUAAUCGGAAUUACUGGGCGUAAAGCGCGCGUAGGCGGUCUGAUAAGCCGGUUGUGAAAGCCCCGGGCUCAACCUGGGAACGGCAUCCGGAACUGUCAGGCUAGAGUGCAGGAGAGGAAGGUAGAAUUCCCGGUGUAGCGGUGAAAUGCGUAGAGAUCGGGAGGAUUACCAGUGGCGAAGGCGGCCUUCUGGACUGACACUGACGCUGAGGUGCGAAAGCGUGGGUAGCAAACAGGAUUAGAUACCCUAGUAGUC
rnacentral:rRNA from 1 species